rnacentral:rRNA from 1 species
UGGGGAAUAUUGGACAAUGGGCGAAAGCCUGAUCCAGCCAUGCCGCGUGUGUGAAGAAGGUCUUCGGAUUGUAAAGCACUUUAAGUUGGGAGGAAGGGCAGUAAGCGAAUACCUUGCUGUUUUGACGUUACCGACAGAAUAAGCACCGGCUAACUCUGUGCCAGCAGCCGCGGUAAUACAGAGGGUGCAAGCGUUAAUCGGAAUUACUGGGCGUAAAGCGCGCGUAGGUGGUUCGUUAAGUUGAAUGUGAAAGCCCCGGGCUCAACCUGGGAACUGCAUCCAAAACUGGCGAGCUAGAGUAGGGCAGAGAGUUGUGGAAUUUCCUGUGUAGCGGUGAAAUGCGUAGAUAUAGGAAGGAACACCAGUGGCGAUGGCGACCACCUGGGCUCAUACUGACACUGAGGUGCGAAAGCGUCGGGAGCAAACAGG